rnacentral:rRNA from 1 species
GAUUAACGCUGGCGGCGUGCCUGACACAUGCAAGUCGAACGGGUGCUAGUUGCCCGCAAGGGUGGCUAGCGCUAGUGGCGGACGGGUGAGUAACACGUGGGCAACCCGCCUGAGAGUGCGGAAUAACCCUGCGAAAGCAGAGCUAAUACUGCAUGUGGUUGUCGGAUGGCAUCAUCUGACAACUAAAGUCGCAAGACGCUCUCAGAUGGGCCCGCGGCCUAUUAGCUAGUUGGUGAGGUAGCGGCCCACCAAGGCAAUGAUGGGUAGCUGGUCUGAGAGGACGGACAGCCACACUGGGACUGAGACACGGCCCAGACUCCUACGGGAGGCAGCAGUGGGGAAUUUUGGACAAUGGGCGAAAGCCUGAUCCAGCAAUGCCGCGUGCAGGAUGAAGGCCUUCGGGUUGUAAACUGCUUUUGUACGGAGCGAAAAGGUUUCCUCUAAUACAGGGGGCUGAUGACGGUACCGUAAGAAUAAGCACCGGCUAACUACGUGCCAGCCGCCGCGGUAAGAC